rnacentral:rRNA from 1 species
GAUGAACGCUGACGGAAUGCUUAACACAUGCAAGUCAACUGUGGCGGACGGGUGAGUAACGCGUAAAGAACUUGCCUCACGGAUAGGGACAACAUUUGGAAAGGAAUGCUAAUACCUGAACCUGUGCGAGAGCUUUGCGUCCCAUUAGAUAGUUGGAGAUGUAACGGCUCACCAAGGCGAUGAUGGGUAGCCGGCCUGAGAGUGUGAUCUGCCACAAGGGCACUGAGAAAGCGCCAUUACGCAUACGGGCGGAAGCAGUGGGGAAUAUUGGACACUGGACCGCAGUCUGAUGCAGUAAUUCUGUGUGUAAGAUGAAUCUUUAGGAAUGUAAAGUGUUUUCAGUUGGAAAUCGGUACCAACAGAAGAAGUAACGGCUAACUCCGGGCCAGCAGCCGCGGUAAUUC